AGUCGAGAAUCUUCGGCAAUGGACGCAAGUCUGACCGAGCGAUGCCGCGUGCGGGAUGAAGGCCCUCGGGUUGUAAACCGCUGUCAGUUGUUAGGAAAUGCCAUAGGGUUCUCUCUAUGGUUUGACCGAUCUUCAGAGGAAGGACGGGCUAAGUUCGUGCCAGCAGCCGCGGUAACACGAACCGUCCAAACGUUAUUCGGUAUCACUGGGCUUAAAGCGUGCGUAGGCGGCCUGGAAGGUCAGAGGUGAAAUCCCACGGCUCAACCGUGGAACUGCCUUUGAAACCAUCAGGCUUGAGGGAGACAGGGGUGAUCGGAACUUAUGGUGGAGCGGUGAAAUGCGUUGAUAUCAUAGGGAACACCGGUGGCGAAAGCGGAUCACUGGGUCUCUUCUGACGCUGAGGCACGAAAGCUAGGGUAGCGAA
rnacentral:rRNA from 1 species